GGUUGUAGUAGACAAAAAUACCCUUAUUUAUUAUGGAUUCUAAGUUUUAAGAUUAAGGGUAUUUGAAUAAUUUUCAUUUUCAAAAAAAAAAAAACAAACCUUUACUCACCUCCUCAUUUCUCUAAACCCUUUCUCUUUCAUCUCUCUUACUCCAACCUUCUUUCUGUCAUCCUACGGUAAUCCCAAUUGAAAAAAAAUCAUAAACACUCGCUUAACUCUAAUCUACCUUCUCU
rnacentral:lncRNA from 1 species